CAAGGAUGUCUGAGAAAUCAAUGAGCUCUCAUUUUGAUCAUCUGCUAUUGUUUUGGUGAACCAUUUUGCUGCUGUUAUGUCUGAAUUUCUGCUUCCCAUUUGCAACCUCAGAAGCAAGAACUUGGGCAACUGGAUCUGAUAGAGCCUGCAGGUCUCUGUAGGAAACCUCGUGGAAAAUACUGCAUCUCACCCGGUGUCACACCAGCACUAUUACACCCAGCUCAAUUCAUCUGCUUUCUGUUAGAGCUCAUCCAAUGGCUGUGAGUGCUCACAACUGGCUUUCCUCAACCACUUCAUUAGAGUCCUUUGCAACAAAGCCUCA
ensembl:lncRNA